CAGCGCUGUAAUGGCGCGACCGGGCCCCUUUAAAAAAAUUGCGGCUACACCGCAAGUGCUGCUGGGAGGAAGUGACGGCCGGUCACUUCCUCCCAGCUUACUCCGCGCGGGGGGAGAGGGAGAGGAAAGGACAGGACAGGGGAGGACACCACACCAGAGACAUCUGCUCCCAUCAUCCCCAGCCACCAUCCUGCAACUUAAAGGUAAGAUGAUGGCUGAUAAAUGAGGUGUGUGUGUCUGCAAGUAUGUAUGUGUGUGUGUGUAUGUCAGUAUGUCUGUAUGUAUGUGUGUAUGUGUCUAUCUAUCUGUAUGUGUGUGUGUAUGUCAGUAUGUAUAUAUGUCUGUUUGUCAGUAUGUAUGUAUGUCAGUAUAUAUGUCUGU